rnacentral:rRNA from 1 species
GCUUGUCUCAAAGAUUAAGCCAUGCAUGUCUAAGUUUAAAUAGUAAACAGUGAAACUGCGAAUGGCUCAUUACAUCAGUUUUAACAUACAUGAUAGUCACUUCUACUUGGAUAACCGUAGUAAUUCUAGAGCUAAUACAUGCGUAAAGGUAGCCGCAAGGCCGCUGUGUUUAUUAGAUACAACCGCCCUCGCAAGAGGUUUAGGUGAGUCACAAUAACCGAACGAACCGCGUUCAGCGGUGAUUCUUUCUACAUUAUUCCCUAUCAGCUUUCGUUUUUUGUGUAGUGGACAAAAAAGGCUUUGACGGGUAACGGAGAAUUAGGGUUCGAUUCCGGAGAGGGAGCCUGAGAGAUGGCUACCACAUCCAAGGAAGGCAGCAGG